CCAAUACUUAGAUAAACCAACGGUUACAUUUCGGCUGGAUAUUAUAAACUAUGUCACGUGCUUUGACCGUUGUUUGGUUCGGUGGAUGCAUUUAAUUCCACCACUAAUAGGACUGAUUAACUUUCCAUUUGCAUUAUCCUGUCUCUGUACAGAAGACAAAUAUCUUUCAUCUCGUGUCUAUUUAAGGAGUUCAGCAGUGUGCAGGACCAAGAGGGUGUUCAUGCUAAAAAAAAAAUCCGUCAACCGAAAAAUCCUGAUGCCAGUGUUGCUCAUGAGCUCGGGUGUCUCCAUCCUGCUGAUGAGCCGUAGUGCCGCCCACCUCCAACACCUGCACGCUUCUCCACUGGGCGUCAUCGCCGUGGCAACCUAGCGACAACCCAUUCCGUCUCCACCAGAGGCUGACAACUUGCGUGCGGACGCCCGAGAUGCUCCAGGGGAAACAUUCCCGUUUCUCUCUCCGAUGCUUCGGAACGUUACGGAGCUCCGGCUGAUUUCACAACCAAAAGAGAACAAUCUAUGAUUUGACUUGUUAAAGCUGCAUCAGUGGAAACCAAGUGCAUUUAAUCAGGCACCAAAGUACAUUAUGAGGUACUUUUACUCCUCCUUCCAUUGCUGUUAUUAUUGCACUCUUUACUGCAUUUACUGCAUUUAGAUUGAAUUGCCUUACAAGCUUCACAAUAUUAAUACAAAAUAUAAAUCAAGUAGUAGUACUAAACGUGUUGCUUUAAGUAUAUCAUAAGAGACAUUUACAGGAUGUAGCAUUAAUCCCCAAUUUAUAAACACUACAUAGCCACACUAUGUAUAGUUAUAGUUAAAUUAUAAAUUGUAUAAUAAUAAUCUACUUUAAACAGAAGUAGAACCAACUUCUGCCACUUGUAACAGUAAGAACACUGCUACAAGUUGAGUACCAUGUUGUACACACCAAAAGCAGAAGUAGAGUAGAUUAAUAUUGACAUCUAUAUUAUAAUACUAGAUCUUAAUGUUUUUUGUAAGUUAUGUUUAUUAUCAAAAGCAGAGUGUAGUUACACAUUACACCUUUACACAUCCCCCCCCACAGACACACGCAGUUUUCCCUUAAUAAAUCACAAUCACUUCUAAAUGCAGCGCAGCUUUUGCGGCUUCAUGUCACGCCCAUAGUUGCCCAUAUACAGUCUGUGAAACGCCCACAAAUGAAUAUUUAUCGAUUGUGAAAUCAUUACAAACACUGAGAGGAAAACGAAGAAACGUAACUUCGAAGUCAAAAUGAUCAUUGGCGAGGUGGAAAGGAGAAGUCUAAGGCUUUUUGGAGGCACAGUAUGGGCAUUACUAAUGCCAAAAGGGCACUUGAGUGGCAAAAGGUUGCAGAGCAACGCUUAUGGCGGCAAAUCACUGUCAAAAUUCGAGAGCGCAAAUCAGGUUGAUGCGCGCGCGUAAAUCAAACAUCCGCGAGCAAAAGUUCAUCUCGCGCGAGAUAUUUGCUCCCUCGCGAAACGUGAACUUCCUCGCUCGCGAGAUUAAUCUCUGCUCGCGCUCGAAGGUGUUUUCUACGCGCUCGCUGUUUUUCUUUUUGACAGUAAGGGGGCGGAGCCAGUCACCAUGGUCUCUACAUCUGAUUGGUUACAAACCGCGUCUUUGGAUUGGCUGGAGUGAUGCAUUCACACAACUAUAGAAGCUCAUUUCCGCACUGAAGAAAGAAAGUCGAAAUUAUGAGAUAAAACGUUGUCAAAAAACAAACGCCCCCCUUCGGUAAUCGUAGUGGACCGUAGAUGACAACCAGCUACAACCAUCAUUUACCAUCAUUACCGGCACAUUAAGAGCAAUGCGUCCAGCAAAUCUCCGUUCAUUUUACUGAACGAGAUUCAAAGAACCGAGUCGGUAAAAUGA
ensembl:lncRNA